CUUUAAGAGGCAAUUUUUUUCAAUGUCACGUAUUUGCAAUGAAAAGUGUUCAAAACCUAAAAUCUUUUUGGCGUUCCUCUCAAAAUUACUUUGUUUUAGCUUUAUUCUCUAGUUUAGAGAGGUGGCUACCUUUUUAAAUGCAUCUGCCGGUUGAGAAACAUAAAAUAAUAGUUAAAAAUUGUCAAUUAAGGUACAAAUAUCAAUGAUGCUUUAAAAUUGACGCCAUAUUUAUAGCCAUAUAAGCAAAACUUACUGAAUUUCAGACAUCAUUUUCUCUUUGGCGUAUCAUCUAAAAUCUCUUCAUUUUGGCAUUAUUUUACAGAUAAAGCACUAAACAUACUUUUUAAGUUUGUUUACCGACGAGAAACGUAACGAAAAAUAUUUGAAUAAUAUAAUUUUGAAUUUAGUCAUAACCUCAAGCGAUAUAUUAUACGCAUUACCAUUAGUUCUGAGCGCAUGUUACGUAACAUACAAAAAAAUCUCCUCUUAAUCAAGUACUCCUCAAACAGUUUACACUAUACCAGGGGAUAUAGAAAUAUAGCUAACUAUUUACAAUAAUACGGUAAUAUACAGAAUGUGCUUACUAUAGUAAAAAGAUAUAAAUUACGAUCUCACGAAAGCAAUUGCUUUCUCCUUAAAAACAGAAAAACUACUAAGAUUACUCAUUGACAUUGUCAGUGGGAUAUUGUUCCACGCAAUAAUAGUUCUUGGAUAAAAAGAAUACCUAUAUACAUUAAUGCUAGUUUGUAAAU